rnacentral:misc_RNA from 1 species
GAUGAAGAACGCAGCGAAAUGCGAUACGUAAUGUGAAUUGCAGAAUUCAGUGAAUCAUCGAAUCUUUGAACGCGUAUUGCGCUCUCUGGUAUUCCGGAGAGCAUGCUUGUUUGAGUAUCAGUAAACACCUCAACUUCCAUAUCUUUUUUGAAAUGGGAGUUGGACUUGAGUGAUCCCAACGCUUUUCCUCACCGAAAAGUGGCGGGUUACUUGAAAUGCAGGUGCAGCUGGACUUUUCUCUGAGCUAUAAGCAUAUCUAUUUAGUCUGCCUAAAAAACAGAUUAUUACCUUUGCUGCAGCUAACAUAAAGGAGAUUAGUUCUUGUGCUGACUGAUGCAGGAUUCACAAAGACGGCUUCGGCCGACUUUGUAAACUCGAUCUCAAAUCAAGUAAGACUACCCGCUGAACUUAAGCAUAUCAAUAAGCGGAGGA